rnacentral:rRNA from 1 species
AUUGAACGCUGGCGGCAUGCCUUACACAUGCAAGUCGAACGGCAGCACGGGUGCUUGCCCCUGGUGGCGAGUGGCGAACGGGUGAGUAAUACAUCGGAACAUGUCCUGUAGUGGGGGAUAGCCCAGCGAAAGCCGGAUUAAUACCGCAUACGAUCUACGGAUGAAAGCGGGGGCCCUUCGGGCCUCGCGCUAUAGGGUUGGCCGAUGGCUGAUUAGCUAGUUGGUGGGGUAAAGGCCUACCAAGGCGACGAUCAGUAGCUGGUCUGAGAGGACGACCAGCCACACUGGGACUGAGACACGGCCCAGACUCCUACGGGAGGCAGCAGUGGGGAAUUUUGGACAAUGGGCGAAAGCCUGAUCCAGCAAUGCCGCGUGUGUGAAGAAGGCCUUCGGGUUGUAAAGCACUUUUGUCCGGAAAGAAAUACUUGGCCCUAAUACGGUCGGGGGAUGACGGUACCGGAAGAAUAAGCACCGGCUAACUACGUG